GCCUCCGUGGUCCAGUGGUUGAGCGUUGAGCUCGCGAUCCGAAGGUCCCGGGUUCGAAUCCCGGUGGGGACA